rnacentral:rRNA from 1 species
GACGUAGGAGGCGAGCGUUAUCCGGAUUCACUGGGCGUAAAGCGCAUGUAGGCGGUUUGUUAAGUCCGAUGUUAAAGCCCCUGGCUCAACUGGGGGAGGUCAUUGGAGACUACCAGACUUGAGGGCAACAGAGGCACGUGGAACUCCCGGUGUAGCGGUGGAAUGCGUAGAGAUCGGGAAGAACACCAGUGGCGAAGGCGACGUGCUGGGUUGCGACUGACGCUGAGAUGCGAAAGUGUGGGGAGCAAACGGG